GUGGCUGUGUCUCAGGUGGUAGAGUGGGUUGUCCACUAAUCAUAAGGUUGGCGGUUCGAAUCCUGGCCACA